AGACCCGAAACCCGGUGAUCUAGCCAUGGGCAGGUUGAAGGUUGGGUAACACUAACUGGAGGACCGAACCGACUAAUGUUGAAAAAUUAGCGGAUGACCUGUGGCUGGGGGUGAAAGGCCAAUCAAACCGGGAGAUAGCUGGUUCUCCCCGAAAGCUAUUUAGGUAGCGCCUCGUGAAUUCAUCUCCGGGGGUAGAGCACUGUUUCGGCUAGGGGGCCAUCCCGGCUUACCAACCCGAUGCAAACUGCGAAUACCGGAGAAUGUUAUCACGGGAGACACACGGCGGGUGCUAACGUCCGUCGUGAAGAGGGAAACAACCCAGACCGCCAGCUAAGGUCCCAAAGUCAUGGUUAAGUGGGAAACGAUGUGGGAAGGCCCAGACAGCCAGGAUGUUGGCUUAGAAGCAGCCAUCAUUUAAAGAAAGCGUAAUAGCUCACUGGUCGAGUCGGCCUGCGCGGAAGAUGUAACGGGGCUAAACCAUGCACCGAAGCUGCGGCAGCGACACUCAGGUGUUGUUGGGUAGGGGAGCGUUCUGUAAGCCUGUGAAGGUGUGCUGUGAGGCAUGCUGGAGGUAUCAGAAGUGCGAAUGCUGACAUAAGUAACGAUAAAGCGGGUGAAAAGCCCGCUCGCCGGAAGACCAAGGGUUCCUGUCCAACGUUAAUCGGGGCAGGGUGAGUCGACCCCUAAGGCGAGGCCGAAAGGCGUAGUCGAUGGGAAACGGGUUAAUAUUCCCGUACUUGGUGUUACUGCGAAGGGGGGACGGAGAAGGCUAUGUUGGCCGGGCGACGGUUGUCCCGGUUUAAGCGUGUAGGUGUGUGUUCCAGGUAAAUCCGGUUCACUUUAACACUGAGGCGUGAUGACGAGGCACUACGGUGCUGAAGCAACAAAUGCCCUGCUUCCAGGAAAAGCCUCUAAGCAUCAGGUAACAUCAAAUCGUACCCCAAACCGACACAGGUGGUCAGGUAGAGAAUACCAAGGCGCUUGAGAGAACUCGGGUGAAGGAACUAGGCAAAAUGGUGCCGUAACUUCGGGAGAAGGCACGCUGACAUGUAGGUGAAGUGAUUUACUCAUGGAGCUGAAGUCAGUCGAAGAUACCAGCUGGCUGCAACUGUUUAUUAAAAACACAGCACUGUGCAAACACGAAAGUGGACGUAUACGGUGUGACGCCUGCCCGGUGCCGGAAGGUUAAUUGAUGGGGUCAGCGCAAGCGAAGCUCCUGAUCGAAGCCCCGGUAAACGGCGGCCGUAACUAUAACGGUCCUAAGGUAGCGAAAUUCCUUGUCGGGUAAGUUCCGACCUGCACGAAUGGCGUAAUGAUGGCCAGGCUGUCUCCACCCGAGACUCAGUGAAAUUGAACUCGCUGUGAAGAUGCAGUGUACCCGCGGCAAGACGGAAAGACCCCGUGAACCUUUACUAUAGCUUGACACUGAACAUUGAGCCUUGAUGUGUAGGAUAGGUGGGAGGCUUUGAAGUGUGG
rnacentral:rRNA from 1 species